AGUUAAUCGUACCCAAAGCAGUUCCCUGCCCAUUGUUUAAAGUGCUGUGCAGACAUUAAUGUUCAAGCACCUUGUGAAGUAGAUGUUAUCCCGCAGUGAAUAAAAGGGGGAAACAGGCAGAGAAGUUAAGAGCUUGAUUACACCUCUCAGAAGGCUGAGGGAGCUGGGGUUGGGGAUACCAAGUUCCCAGGCCUGCCCAGAAAUGCCUCUUUUGGUGCCUCCUUCCUGGCCGGCAUCAUCCAUGUCCCCUUUCCCGUGCACAGCCAGCCCACUGACUGCUGCAGUCUCCUGGCACCCUUUCUUCUCCUCCAGCCAUCCGUUCACCUUGGCUGGUGAUGUGUCCAAGAGGUCACAGUCUGUGCCAGUGGCAGAGCUGGGGAUAGAACUCAGAGGUUCCUGGCUCCUGCCCUGUGGUUAUUUCAUCAGACAAUGCGACUUCCCUACGGGCAGGGGAAACAGAUGUCCAGUGCUGGAGUAAUGGAAUGAGGGCUGGAGGAGAGAAUCAGGUGCUCAGUGAUGCAGAAACUGGUGAAGAAGAGAGGUAAUGGAGGGGACCGCAGGAAUUGCGGAGCAACUUCUCUGGCAAAGUGGAACCUUCUACAAUAAGGAUAAAGGAGACAGAGCUUCUCAGGGGCUGGGCUGAGACUGUGGAAUGAGCUCCUGCAGGAGCAAAGGGCCUUCCCAAACCUCGCUGCCUUCCACUCCCAGUGCGGAAUAUAUUGCUUUGAUCUUGCCUCCUCUACCCUAAACAUAUUACAAACUGCACGUGUAUAUUGAAAAAAAGAAAAUCUAGAACACAACACUUCUCUGCCCAAACAUCAGAUACUGCAGUGAUGAACGUGGUAUAGGAACCUAUAUGGACUAGCAUAGAGGUGGAGGAGAACCCAGAGAUCCAAACAGAGGGAAUGUGUCUCCAGCACUACCAUAACUGGGGGGAUGAGGGGCUGGAGAGAAGAGAUGGGGGAAGGAAAAAGGACCUUGCAGUAACUGGAAAGAAGUUGGAAGAGGGAUGGUUGGGUGGCACUGAUCAUGCAGCAGUGGGGGGAGCUCGUGAUGCUUCAUUGGCUUCCCAAACUCAGUUACGAUAAAUCUCCUGCUCUUCCUAUUAUCAAGUUUUCUACAGCGGGGGAGCUGUAGCAAUGGGCAAUGGCCUUGGCCGCUGCUCACAGUAGCUACCUGUUGAGAAGUUUGCGAGGUCUGAUGUCAUCUUGAAUGUUCCCGUUUAUAGUGCUGUUCUGGAAUUUAGCUCCCCAAUAGCAAUUGAAAGAAAGUUGACAGUAAGAGACCUUAUGAGCGUCAAACAGCUGCCCAGAAUUGGUUUACCAAACCAAACUGUAUCCUGAUGGAGUUCGCUACUGCAUGUUCAAAGAAUAGAUUCAAGCCUUAGGAUGCUGGAGCAUAGCUACGUUUUCCAGGUGACUUGCACCCCAUGGCUUAGAGUGUGUUCGGUGCAUGACACCCCCUCCGGGCCAGCCCCCAAACUGUUCUCAGUGAUUAUAGUCAACUGUAUUCUGACAAAUCAAAGAAGACAGGGACGUGGUAGUAGUGGGGAAAGUGGGAACAGAGUAAAAACUGUUCAUUCUUCAAAGAAGCAGACUGAGAAUGGCAAACAAAGUGAAUUUUAUUUUCUCCAGAUUAGGUACAAAUCAUAUCUCUGACCCUUCCCAUAAACACCUGCUCUUGGCCUUGUCAAAGAAUAAUAGCCUCAAUAGAUGGAACUGCAGUAGGCACUGUGUGUUACAGCGCUGGUUCAUUUCCAACAGGACUGGCUUUAGGAUUUUGGGGCUCUGAAGGGAGCCCGUGCUUAGGUACAGGAAGCUAAACCCAAAAUCUCUUUUUUUUCCCCACCCCGCCAUGGGUGGCGGGUAUAACAGGCCAGGGAGGCUAAGCCUCCCCUGGUGCAGCCGCCAGUGACCUGCUGCUGGACACCUAGGCUAUGGUGGCCUUGCAUCUUCCCUGAGGCCCCCACCACCUGCUGGUGCUGCCUGGUGUUUUUCCAGGUUGCAGUAACCACAGGGCAUGAGGAAUGCUAUAUCUCUUUGCCAUGCUCCUCUCCACUGACUUGGAUGCCAUUCUUGGCAUUUGUCCUCUCCAGAGCCAGCUUUAUGUCCAGUUCUCUCAGCUGUUUCAGGAAGCCGCGGUUUGGGAGGAUGCAUCGGUGCUGCAGCACUUGCUCAAUGGCAUCAACCACUGUCAUAUUCUUGUAAAUCAUCAGAUA